GGAUUAGAUACCCUGGUAGUCCACGCCGUAAACGAUGAGAACUAGGCGUUGGGGUUUAACCUCAGUGCCGCAGCUAACGCGUUAAGUUCUCCGCCUGGGGAGUACGACCGCAAGGUUAAAACUCAAAUGAAUUGACGGGGACCCGCACAAGUAGUGGAGCAUGUGGUUUAAUUCGAAGAUACGCGCAGAACCUUACCAACACUUGACAUGUUUGUCGCGACUUUAAGAGAUUAAAGUCUUCGGUUCGGCCGGACAAAACACAGGUGCUGCAUGGCUGUCGUCAGCUCGUGUCG
rnacentral:rRNA from 1 species